CACGCCGUAAACGAUGGGUACUAGGUGUAGGGGUUUCGAUACCUCUGUGCCGCCGUAAACACAAUAAGUACCCCGCCUGGGGAGUACGGUCGCAAGAUUAAAACUCAAAGGAAUUGACGGGGGCCCGCACAAGUAGCGGAGCAUGUGGUUUAAUUCGAAGCAACGCGAAGAACCUUACCUAGACUUGACAUGUCCUGAAUUACCUGUAAUAAGGGAAGCUCUUUCGGGAGCAGGAACACAGGUGG
rnacentral:rRNA from 1 species